CCCUGAGAUGGACUAGGUAUACAGGGAGUACCUCGCCCAGUAACAGCAGCAGCAGGACAAGCAGUGGAUGGAUGGAUGGAUGGAUGGAUGGAUGGACGAACAGACCAGAUGGUGCAAAGGACCUUACUAUGGAGACUGGUGCAGCAUCCCCAUCACUCCAAUUCAUCCAUCAAUCUGUGGCUCCACUCUCCCCCCACUCACGAAUAAGAACUGAGAUACUUGAACUUCUCCACUUGAGACCCCACCUGAUUCCCAAACCAAGUGGGCCCUCCACAGUUUCAAGAACCAUAGCCUCAAACUUUUCAUCCCAGCCAUUUCAUACUUAGCUGCAAACCACCACCAUGAAAGCUGGAGGUUUUCACUCAAUGAGGCCAACAGGAUCUGGAAAAAGCAGAGACGGUGAUCCUG
ensembl:lncRNA